rnacentral:rRNA from 2 species
CGCUACUGACCCGAGGCGCCGGCAGUCUCCGGACCCGUGCUAGGGCGGCGGUUACGGUGCUCUGCGGAGCAGUGCAGCCGAGGUCGAACCUCCCAAGACGGCCCGGGACCGCUCGGCGCGGCAAGCGUCCUCGGUCUCGCGGCGAGUCCACCGCGGCGGCCUAUAACACGACACCCCGAGGGGCGGCGCUACCUUUCCGCCGGGCUUCUGACCGCCGCGAAACCGGUCGUAGCACUCGACCGCGGAGAAAGUGCACCCUGCCACGCGGACGUCCCCCGGCCCCGUCCUUGCGGAUCCGAACUUUUCGGAGUGCCCCGGGGGCGGCCGG